rnacentral:rRNA from 1 species
UACGAAGGGGGCUAGCGUUGCUCGGAAUCACUGGGCGUAAAGGGUGCGUAGGCGGGUUUUUAAGUCAGAGGUGAAAUCCUGGAGCUCAACUCCAGAACUGCCUUUGAUACUGAGGAUCUUGAGUAUGACAGAGGUGAGUGGAACUGCGAGUGUAGAGGUGAAAUUCGUAGAUAUUCGCAAGAACACCAGUGGCGAAGGCGGCUCACUGGGUCAUUACUGACGCUGAGGCACGAAAGCGUGGGGAGCAAACAGG